UGGAAUGUGGUGAUGAAAGGUGCAAGUUCCAGAAUGCAAGUUAGAAUGGAAAAAGCAAGAGAGAGCCACACACAAAUGCUCUGAGAGCAGAUGGAAGGAGCAGUUCACUUCCAGCUGGGGACGCUGGGAAGGCUUCCUGACAGAUGUGAUGUCAGAAUGGGACUUCUAUCAUCUUCCUGCACCUGAUCCAAGAACAGAGGAGGCAAUUCCACUGCUUGGGAGACUUGAAAAUGAACAGAAAUGAAAUUAAAUAAAACCCCUUCCACAUU